AGCAUAUCCAACACAUAUUACCAAUAGUCAUGAACACAUAUAUAUCCAACACAUAUCCAACACAUGUUACCAAUAGUCAUGAACACAUAUAUAUCCAACACAUAUCCAACACAUAUUACAAGGAAUGACCUAAAACUAAAUAUCUAUUUUCCUAAAAACUAUCUUAUUACUAAGAUCUUCUUUGGAUCUUCUUCUUUUCUUCCAACCUGCAUAACAAAAACACUAAGAAAGAGAGAAUGUGUUAGGAGUAGAAAUGUAGCAUUUCACUUGGUGAAAUGCAUUGUUGUAGGAGCCAGUACUUGAGAUCAAGAUAAUCUUAGUUAAGAUCCUGAUUUUCAAAGUGAUCUUAAUUAGAAAGCCAAAUAGAGUAAACCAAUACCAAAGAGCCAAAGGAGAGAACCAGCCAAGGACCCAAUCAAGAAGCCACCACAAUUAGUAGUAAGUUAAAUGCCAACACAAAGACCACUAUCAGUACUAGCUCCAGGAAUUAAGCCAACUAAAAAAUAGUGAUUAAAGCCAAGGAUUAGACUUCAUUCAGGCCACCCGUGAGGACAGCACAAACACACACACACACACACACACACACACACAACUUAGUCACACCAUUCAGGCCAGUAUAAAUAGGGCAACCAACAGUAGAGUAGGUUCUGUUAGACACUUGGUGUCCAAAACAUCAAACAGGAUCGGGCCCAAAACCAUAUCUGUGAGAUAGUGUGAAGCAGCUAGGAGGAGGAGGCUGUCCACAAGAAGCAGGUUUACCAGAAUCCACAACACCAAGCUACAGAAGACCUCAAGGUAUACUUGAGGGAUUAUGUGCUCAGACAGCCUGGAAGUGCCAAGGCUAGUUCAUCACAGCACAGGGAUAGCCACAUGUAAAUUAAGCCUAAGAGAGGGGGGGCUCAGACCAGCAUCACUGCCCAAAUCAGAUGUAGUAUCUGUCUUAUCAGUAGAAAACUAGGAAAGUAACAGCCAAAACCAAGUAUAGCAUCUGUUCAUAGGCUAUUAGAAAGAGACCAAUAGGAAUAGCCAAACCAAGUGGUAUCUGUUCAUCUCAGUAUUAGAAGUAAAACAACUAAGAACAAGUGAGUAUCUGUUCAUGAGUAAAGUAACUAUAGCAUAGAAGAAAUAGCAGGGUAGCACCCCAAAUGAUUAUCUGCUUGUUUAGAACUUGAGUGGAUGGGGAGCUUGCUUACCCACCCAUCGGUUGAGAAGGAAGUUGAUCUCCUGCACUCACACAUGCAGCAACCAAAAGAGAAAC
rnacentral:lncRNA from 1 species